rnacentral:rRNA from 1 species
AGCGAACGCUGGCGGCAGGCCUAACACAUGCAAGUCGAACGAACCCUUCGGGGUUAGUGGCGGACGGGUGAGUAACACGUAGGAACGUGCCUUUAGGUUCGGAAUAACUCAGGGAAACUUGUGCUAAUACCGAAUGUGCCCUUCGGGGGAAAGAUUUAUCGCCUUUAGAGCGGCCCGCGUCUGAUUAGCUAGUUGGUGAGGUAAUGGCUCACCAAGGCUACGAUCAGUAGCUGGUCUGAGAGGAUGACCAGCCACAUUGGGACUGAGACACGGCCCAAGCUCCUACGGGAGGCAGCAGUGGGGAAUCUUGCGCAAUGGGCGAAAGCCUGACGCAGCCAUGCCGCGUGGAUGAUGAAGGUCUUAGGAUUGUAAAAUCCUUUCACCGGUGAAGAUAAUGACUGUAGCCGGAGAAGAAGCCCCGGCUAACUUCGUGCCAGCCGCCGCGGUAAUAC